GAUUAACGCUGGCGGCGUGCCUAACACAUGCCAGUCGAGCGGCAGCGAGUUUUACACUGAAUUCUGGAAGCUUCUAGUUGAAAGAGAAGAUUUAUUCAAGAAUUUUGUGUAAAAUGUCGGCGAGCGGCGGACGGCUGAGUAACGCGUGGGAACGUACCCCAAAGUGAGGGAUAGCGCAUCGAAAGGUGUGCUAAUACCGCAUAUGGUCUUCGGAUUAAAGCCUUCGGGCGCUUUGGGAACGGCCUGCGUAGGAUUAGAUAGUUGGUGGGGUAAUGGCCUACCAAGUCGACGAUCUAUAACUGGUUUGAGAGGAUGAUCAGUCAGACUGGAACUGAGACACGGUCCAGACUCCUACGGGAGGCAGCAGUGGGGAAUCUUCCACAAUGGGGGAAAGCCUGAUGGAGCAACGCCGCGUGCAGGAUGAAGGCCUUCGGGUUGUAAACUGCUUUUAUAAGUGAGGAUUAUGACAGUAACUGAUGAAUAAGGAUCGGCUAACUACGUG
rnacentral:rRNA from 1 species